rnacentral:rRNA from 1 species
UUUUGGACAAUGGGCGCAAGCCUGAUCCAGCCAUGCCGCGUGAGUGAAGAAGGCCUUCGGGUUGUAAAGCUCUUUUGUCAGGGAAGAAACGGCGGGAGCUAAUAUCUCCUGCUAAUGACGGUACCUGAAGAAUAAGCACCGGCUAACUACGUGCCAGCAGCCGCGGUAAAACGUAGGUACCGAGCGUUAUCCGGAUUUACUGGGCGUAAAGCGUGUUCAGGCGGUCUAGCAAGUCGGGCAUGAAAUCUCUGGGCUCAACCCGGAGGGGUUGUCCGAUACUGCUGGGCUUGAGGGCAGCAGAGGGUGGUGGAAUUCCGGGUGUAGUGGUGAAAUGCGUAGAUAUCCGGAGGAACACCAGUGGCGAAGGCGGCCACCUGGGCUGUACCUGACGCUCAAACACGAAAGCUAGGGGAGCGAAC